rnacentral:lncRNA from 1 species
GGGUUGGGUAAAUUAUGAAAAUGGGUUAGAUGUGGGUUUUAUAUAGAAAAUAAUUUCAUUAUGGGUUGGGUAUGGUUUACCCAUGGGUCAUGGACAAAACCCCAACACUCAAAUUUUUCAAAUGAAAUAAAUGAAAAUAAAAUAAAUGAACACAAAUAAGUGAAAGGCCACUAUUAAAUUUUUUACGGCGUGAUCAAUUGUCAACAGUUAGAAAAUAAAAAUAACAGUAAAAAUAAAUUUAAAUUAAAUACAUAUUGUUGUAAGUAACAUAAAUUUUUUUUCUUAUUUACAAAAAUAAUUCCUCCCACAUGGAAGGAUCAUUAUAGAAAGAGCAGGAGACUCUACUAGUGAUCAAUAAUAACUCGGCUUGGACUGGGUCCGAUAUGCUAGAUGACGGCUAAUUUUUGGUCAAUAAUUGAAUGUAAUGCCCAUAUUAGGCUUUGUACAAAACUUUGCUUACCAUAUAAUGAAAUUAGAACAUAAAGCAUACACACUAUAUAAUAUCAGAAUGUAAAUAAAAUUAAGGGGAAUUGCCACUUUCCCCCCUACAGUAAUUAACAUAUACCAUUUACCCCAUUUCUAUUUUUAAAUGGCCAAAAAUCCCCCUAACAACAUAAGUUUAUAAUAUUACCCUUAUU